UUGACCUCGGAUCAGGUAGGAAUACCCGCUGAACUUAAGCAUAUCAAUAAGCGGAGGAAAAGAAACCAACAGGGAUUGCCCUAGUAACGGCGAGUGAAGCGGCAACAGCUCAAAUUUGAAAUCUGGCUCUCGGGCCCGAGUUGUAAUUUGUAGAGGAUACUUUUGAUGCGGUGCCUUCCGAGUUCCCUGGAACGGGACGCCAUAGAGGGUGAGAGCCCCGUCUGGUUGGAUGCCAAAUCUCUGUAAAGUUCCUUCGACGAGUCGAGUAGUUUGGGAAUGCUGCUCUAAAUGGGAGGUAUAUGUCUUCUAAAGCUAAAUACCGGCCAGAGACCGAUAGCGCACAAGUAGAGUGAUCGAAAGAUGAAAAGCACUUUGAAAAGAGAGUUAAAAAGUACGUGAAAUUGUUGAAAGGGAAGCGUUUAUGACCAGACUUGGGCUUGGUUAAUCAUCUGGGGUUCUCCCCAGUGCACUUUUCCAGUCCAGGCCAGCAUCAGUUUUCCCCGGGGGAUAAAGACUUCGGGAAUGUGGCUCUCUUCGGGGAGUGUUAUAGCCCGUUGUGUAAUACCCUGGGGGGGACUGAGGUUCGCGCAUCUGCAAGGAUGCUGGCGUAAGAUG
rnacentral:rRNA from 1 species